CGGAUUACUGGGCGUAAGGGUGCGUAGGCGGUUGUGCAAGUCCAGAGGUGAAAUCCCCGAGCUUAACUUGGGAACUGCCUUUGAGACUGCACGGCUUGAGUGUGGCAGAGGUGGGUGGAAUUCCACGUGUAGCGGUGAAAUGCGUAGAUAUGUGGAAGAACACCGAUGGCGAAGGCAGCUCACUGGGCUGACACUGACGCUCAUGCACGAAAGCGUGGGGAGCAAACAGGAUUAGAUACCCUGGUAGUCCACGCCCUAAACGAUGUCAACUAGUUGUUGGGGAUUCAUUUCCUU
rnacentral:rRNA from 1 species